ANCCUCGGAGUGUAAAGCUCUGUGUACGGGAAGAGAAGCAGACGGUACCGUACGAGGAAGCCCCCGCCAAACUACGGUGCCAGCACCCGGGUAAUACGUAGGGGGCAAGCGUUGUCCGGGAAUUACUGGGCGUAAAGCGCAGCAGCGGCCCAUCAAAUCGGUUUGUAAAAGCAGUGGCUCAACUACGGUAAGACGGCCGAUACUGAUGAGCUAGAGUAUGUGAGAGGAACGGAAUUCCCGGUGUACGGUGAAAUGCGUAGAAUAUCGGGAGGAACAACCAGUGGCGAAGGCGGCUUCCUGGCACAAGACUGACGCUCAUGUGCGAAAGCUAGGGUAGCGAACGGGAUUAGAUACCCCGGUAGUCCUAGCCGUAAACGAUGGAUACUGGGUGUGGGUGCCGCAGGGCAUCUGUGCCGGAGCGAACGCGUUAAGUAUCCCGCCUGCGGGACUACAGGUCGCAAGACUGAAACUCAAAGGAAUUGACGGGGGCCCGCACAAGCGGUGGAGCACGUGGUUUAAUUCGAUGCAAACCGAAGAACCUUACCUGGGUUUGACAUGACGGUGUUAGGCGCGAGAGAUUGCGCCGACCGCGCAGAGAUGCGCGGAGCCGCACACAGGUGCUGCAUGGCUGUCGUCAGCUCGUGUCGUGAGAUGUUGGGUCAAGUCCCAACGACCGGGGCNAAU
rnacentral:rRNA from 1 species